UACGGGGGGGGCAAGCGUUGUUCGGAAUUACUGGGCGUAAAGGGCUCGUAGGCGGCCAACUAAGUCAGACGUGAAAUCCCUCGGCUUAACCGGGGAACUGCGUCUGAUACUGGAUGGCUUGAGUGUGGGAGAGGGAUGCGGAAUUCCAGGUGUAGCGGUGAAAUGCGUAGAUAUCUGGAGGAACACCGGUGGCGAAGGCGGCAUCCUGGACCGGUAUUGACACUGAGGCGCGAAAGCCAGGGGAGCAAACGGG
rnacentral:rRNA from 1 species